GCACUACUGAGGAGUCCCAUAAUAGGACGAAACGGCAGUCCAGUAC
rnacentral:hammerhead_ribozyme from 1 species